UCUCUCGUGGUGUAGUGGUAGCAUUCCAGCUUGUCAUGAUGGUGGGAGCUAACAAAGCUCAUUGACAUACAAGCGCUGGCGACAGGGGUUCAAUUCCCCUCGAGGGAG